rnacentral:rRNA from 1 species
AAGGUAGCAUAAUCAUUAGCCCACUAAUUAUGGGCUGGAAUCAACGGUUAGACGAUGGGAUUACUGUCUCUUUUUAUAUAAGCUUAAAUUAAGGUUGGGGUGAAGACUCCCCACUAAAAUAGCGGGACGAGAAGACCCUAUUGAGCUUUAGCCUAUAUACAAUAAAUGUAAAAAGACUUUGGUUGGGGCAACCGUAUUAGAAUAAAACAAUAUUUUAAAUAAUAAAUUGAAUUUAUAUAAGACCCCAAAAAUUUUGGGAAAAAGAAUAAGUUACCUUAGGGAUAACAGCGUAAUUUUUCUUGAGAGUUCAUAUUGACAGAAAAGUUUGCGACCUCGAUGUUGGAUCAAGAUUUCCUGGGGGUGCAGAAGUUCCCAAGGGUUGGUUUGUUCAACCAUAAAAAUCUUACGUGAUC